GACGAACGCUGGCGGCGUGCUUAACACAUGCAAGUCGAACGGAAAGGCCCUGCUUUUGUGGGGUGCUCGAGUGGCGAACGGGUGAGUAACACGUGAGUAACCUGCCCUUGACUUUGGGAUAACUUCGGGAAACUGGGGCUAAUACCGGAUAGGAGCUCCUGCUGCAUGGUGGGGGUUGGAAAGUUUCGGCGGUUGGGGAUGGACUCGCGGCUUAUCAGCUUGUUGGUGGGGUAGUGGCUUACCAAGGCUUUGACGGGUAGCCGGCCUGAGAGGGUGACCGGCCACAUUGGGACUGAGAUACGGCCCAGACUCCUACGGGAGGCAGCAGUGGGGAAUAUUGCACAAUGGGCGGAAGCCUGAUGCAGCAACGCCGCGUGCGGGAUGACGGCCUUCGGGUUGUAAACCGCUUUCGCCUGUGACGAAGCGUGAGUGACGGUAAUGGGUAAAGAAGCACCGGCUAACUACGUGC
rnacentral:rRNA from 1 species